rnacentral:rRNA from 1 species
GACGGAGGAUGCAAGCGUUAUCCGGAAUGAUUGGGCGUAAAGCGUCCGCAGGUGGCAGUUCAAGUCUGCUGUCAAAGACCGGGGCUUAACUUCGGAAAGGCAGUGGAAACUGAACAGCUAGAGUAUGGUAGGGGCAGAGGGAAUUCCUGGUGUAGCGGUGAAAUGCGUAGAGAUCUGGAGGAACACCGAUGGCGAAGGCAGCCCCCUGGGCUAACACUGACGCUCAUGCACGAAAGCGUGGGGAGCAAACGAGGA